rnacentral:lncRNA from 10 species
GACAAUUCAAAAACAUGUUGAAAUUAUGCAAUAUACUUCUGAACAGCCAAUAGAUCAAAAAAUAAAUCAAAAGGAGAAUAAAAAAAAUCUUGGGGAAAAUGAAAAUGGAAAUAGAAUAUAAUAAAACUUACGUGAUGCAGCAAAGCAAUUCUAAGCAGGAAGUUUAUAGCAAUAAUUACCCUUCGCGAUCAGUCUGUAAACAUUGCACAAGUCUAUGCACGCAGUGAAAAUGGAACUUCAUCUGCAGUUCACUGUGGGUCCACAGUGAAAACCGACUGAUGCAUGAUAGACCCUCCAUUGUUACUGAAAGAAUGAAAAGUUUUAGUAACUUAUUAAAUAUAUUCUGUUUCUCCUAAUCUUAUGCUUAGCAUGAAUUCAAAAGUGAGACUCAAAACAGUGGGAAAAACAACGAUGAACGGAUGAAUUCAAUAAAGUCAUGGGCUUCAGAAAGUUAAUACCAGAGCUGUUUGAUUAUAUGAAGUUUUUUAAA